CUGGUGGUUCGGUGGUAGAAUUCCCGCCUUCCAUGCAGGAGACCUUGGUUCGAAUCCCAGCUGG
rnacentral:tRNA from 1 species